AAAUUGAAGAGUUUGAUCAUGGCUCAGAUUGAACGCUGGCGGCAGGCCUAACACAUGCAAGUCGAGCGGUAGCACAGAGAGCUUGCUCUCGGGUGACGAGCGGCGGACGGGUGAGUAAUGUCUGGGAAACUGCCUGAUGGAGGGGGAUAACUACUGGAAACGGUAGCUAAUACCGCAUAAUGUCGCAAGACCAAAGUGGGGGACCUUCGGGCCUCAUGCCAUCAGAUGUGCCCAGAUGGGAUUAGCUAGUAGGUGGGGUAACGGCUCACCUAGGCGACGAUCCCUAGCUGGUCUGAGAGGAUGACCAGCCACACUGGAACUGAGACACGGUCCAGACUCCUACGGGAGGCAGCAGUGGGGAAUAUUGCACAAUGGGCGCAAGCCUGAUGCAGCCAUGCCGCGUGUGUGAAGAAGGCCUUCGGGUUGUAAAGCACUUUCAGCGGGGAGGAAGGCGAUAAGGUUAAUAACCUUGUCGAUUGACGUUACCCGCAGAAGAAGCACCGGCUAACUCCGUGCCAGCAGCCGCGGUAAUACGGAGGGUGCAAGCGUUAAUCGGAAUUACUGGGCGUAAAGCGCACGCAGGCGGUCUGUCAAGUCGGAUGUGAAAUCCCCGGGCUCAACCUGGGAACUGCAUUCGAAACUGGCAGGCUAGAGUCUUGUAGAGGGGGGUAGAAUUCCAGGUGUAGCGGUGAAAUGCGUAGAGAUCUGGAGGAAUACCGGUGGCGAAGGCGGCCCCCUGGACAAAGACUGACGCUCAGGUGCGAAAGCGUGGGGAGCAAACAGGAUUAGAUACCCUGGUAGUCCACGCCGUAAACGAUGUCGAUUUGGAGGUUGUGCCCUUGAGGCGUGGCUUCCGGAGCUAACGCGUUAAAUCGACCGCCUGGGGAGUACGGCCGCAAGGUUAAAACUCAAAUGAAUUGACGGGGCCCGCACAAGCGGUGGAGCAUGUGGUUUAAUUCGAUGCAACGCGAAGAACCUUACCUGGUCUUGACAUCCACAGAACUUUCCAGAGAUGGAUUGGUGCCUUCGGGAACUGUGAGACAGGUGCUGCAUGGCUGUCGUCAGCUCGUGUUGUGAAAUGUUGGGUUAAGUCCCGCAACGAGCGCAACCCUUAUCCUUUGUUGCCAGCGGUCCGGCCGGGAACUCAAAGGAGACUGCCAGUGAUAAACUGGAGGAAGGUGGGGAUGACGUCAAGUCAUCAUGGCUUACGACCAGGGCUACACACGUGCUACAAUGGCAUAUACAAAGAGAAGCGACCUCGCGAGAGCAAGCGGACCUCAUAAAGUAUGUCGUAGUCCGGAUUGGAGUCUGCAACUCGACUCCAUGAAGUCGGAAUCGCUAGUAAUCGUAGAUCAGAAUGCUACGGUGAAUACGUUCCCGGGCCUUGUACACCGCCCGUCACACCAUGGGAGUGGGUUGCAAAGAAGUAGGUAGCUUAACCUUCGGGAGGGCGCUUACCACUUUGUGAUUCAUGACUGGGGUGAAGUCGUAACAAGGUAACCGUAGGGGAACCUGCGGUUGGAUCACCUCCUUACCUUAAAGAA
rnacentral:rRNA from 1 species